rnacentral:rRNA from 1 species
GAUGAACGCUGGCGGCGUGCCUAAUACAUGCAAGUCGAGCGAACGGACGAGAAGCUUGCUUCUCUGAUGAUAGCGGCGGACGGGUGAGUAACACGUGGAUAACCUACCUAUAAGACUGGGAUAACUUCGGGAAACCGGAGCUAAUACCGGAUAAUAUUUUGAACCGCAUGGUUCAAAAGUGAAAGACGGUCUUGCUGUCACUUAUAGAUGGAUCCGCGCUGCAUUAGCUAGUUGGUAAGGUAACGGCUUACCAAGGCAACGAUGCAUAGCCGACCUGAGAGGGUGAUCGGCCACACUGGAACUGAGACACGGUCCAGACUCCUACGGGAGGCAGCAGUAGGGAAUCUUCCGCAAUGGGCGAAAGCCUGACGGAGCAACGCCGCGUGAGUGAUGAAGGUCUUCGGAUCGUAAAACUCUGUUAUUAGGGAAGAACAUAUGUGUAAGUAACUGUGCACAUCUCGACGGUACCUAAUCAGAAAGCCAUGGCUAACUACGUG